AGAACGAACGCUGGCGGCAGGCCUAACACAUGCAAGUCGGACGCCCGCAAGGGCGUGGCAGACGGGUGAGUAACGCGUGGGAACGUACCCUUCGGUUCGGAAUAACUCAGGGAAACUUGGGACAAUACCGGAUACGUCCGUAAGGAGAAAGAUUUAUCGCCGAAGGAUCGGCCCGCGUUGGAUUAGCUAGUUGGCGGGGUAAUGGCCCACCAAGGCGACGAUCCAUAGCUGGUCUGAGAGGAUGAUCAGCCACACUGGGACUGAGACACGGCCCAGACUCCUACGGGAUGCAGCAGUGGGGAAUAUUGGACAAUGGGCGAAAGCCUGAUCCAGCCAUGCCGCGUGAGUGAUGAAGGCCUUAGGGUUGUAAAGCUCUUUCAGCGGGGAAGAUAAUGACUGUACCCGCAGAAGAAGCCCCGGCUAACUUCGUGCCAGCAGCCGC
rnacentral:rRNA from 1 species